UACAUGUGGGGCAAGCGUUGUUCGGAAUUACUGGGCAUAAAGGGUGCGUAGGCGGCUUGUUAAGUCACUGGUGAAAGUUUUCGGCCCAACCGGAAAAUGGCCUGUGAUACUGGCGAGCUUGAGUGCGUGAGGGGUGGGGGGAACGAGCAGUGUAGCGGUGAAAUGCGUAGAUAUUGGGAGGAACACCAGUGGCGAAGGCGGCUCACUGGACCGGUACUGACGCUGAUGCGCGAAAGCGUGGGGAGCAAACAGG
rnacentral:rRNA from 1 species